GCGCGGGUGGCGGAAUUGGUAUACGCGCUAGCUUGAGGGGCUAGUGAACGCAAGUUCGUGGAGGUUCGAGUCCUCUCCCGCGCACCA
rnacentral:tRNA from 1 species